rnacentral:rRNA from 1 species
CAGUCGCCGCGGUAAUACGGAGGGAGCUAGCGUUGUUCGGAAUUACUGGGCGUAAAGCGCGCGUAGGCGGUUACUCAAGUCAGAGGUGAAAGCCCGGGGCUCAACCCCGGAACUGCCUUUGAAACUAGGUGACUAGAAUCUUGGAGAGGUCAGUGGAAUUCCGAGUGUAGAGGUGAAAUUCGUAGAUAUUCGGAAGAACACCAGUGGCGAAGGCGACUGACUGGACAAGUAUUGACGCUGAGGUGCGAAAGCGUGGGGAGCAAACAGGAUUAGAUACCCCAGUAGUCCCUGUCUCUUAUAU